GUGCCUGAGAUCAUGAACGUCGAGCAGAGCAUCGUGCAUGAAAUUAUGACCAAACAGCUUGUCUGGUAUGGUCAUGUUCAACGAAUGGCGGAUGAUAGGUUGCCUAAGAAGGUACUAGAUCGGGUUCCUUCUGGGAGAAGAGGUAGGGGACGUCCAGCAAAAUCGUGGAUAGGUGGCAUUCAAGAUGAAAUCACAAGAUGCCAUUUACCAGAUGACCUCUGGAUCGAUAGGCAAGGAUGGCGAUUAGGUGUGGCAGAUUAGGGCGCGCUAUAAAGCGACUCGAAUGUAUGUAUGUCUUGCCAACAUUUGUGAAGCUUUCACAUCGAUUACUUUUCCCAUUUUAUCUACGAUUUUCUCUGAACUCCAUCUUGUAAGCAAUUACGAUUCUUUUGCCUUUACUGACCAUACUCUUGUUUAAGCUCUUUCUGAAGAAUGUCUGUUUGUUUCAUUGGUGUGUAUUGUCAAACAUAAAAAUGUUGUUAAUUGUCUCACAAUUACAUUUAUUUACUUCGUUCCUUUUUUUCCACCAUCUGCCUAGAAUGCAGUGCAAUAUCAAGACCAGUGUCAAGACCAGUUUCCAGAUCAAAAUCAAGACCUUCAAGAUUGGAAUGAAUGGAACGAUGAGCCAUUGUCCCUGUAACUUUUGAUCAGCCACCACCAACAUUCACUCCAACGGUCGCUCCACCUCAUCCAACAGUGUCCGAGCCAUCCUCUCUUCCAUUUCAGUCAGAAUCGAUGACUCCUACAAGAGGGGCCAAUACAGAUGUAAUUAGUGGAUAUCAAAGGUUUACAAACCAAGGUGGAGGAAUUCAGCCUUUCAAUAGUAAUAUUAAUCAGGACUGGAAAUGGCAAUCGCCUUCCUCUGUGCCAUCACCAGUUAAUCAAAGCAACAACAACCAAUUACCAUCCUACCAGACGCAGUUAAAUCACGGCAACAGCUGCCUCAGCAGCAGCAGCAACAACAAAACCACCAACUUUUCCAUCAAAAUCCAUCCCAACACCAUCAACAACAACACAAUCAGUUCCAGCAGCAGAAUCAGCUCCAACAACAGAAUCAGCUCCAGCAACAGAAUCAGCUUCAACAACAGAAUCAGCUCCAGCAACAGAAUCAGCUCCAGCAACAGAACCAACUUCAGCAGCAAAGUCAGUUGCAACAACAAGAAAAUGCUGCUGUUGAAAACAUCAAUAGCAUUCUAACCGACUUGAAUAUCAAUAAUGAUCAACCAUUAGAAGCAUCACCCUACUGGAGUGAUGUUGAUACAAAUCUGGUUGUAGAAACUAAUGAUUCUAGCAGUGAAUGGCAGCCGCAAGAGCCAACACCUUCCAGUCUAGAAA
rnacentral:lncRNA from 1 species